rnacentral:lncRNA from 1 species
AUGAUGUAUAUGAGAGCGAUUUCCAGCAGAGCGAAGCUUAUCACAGAUCCACCUAAAAGGAAGAGAGAGUGGCAUCAACAGCGUGCCCCUGUGUCUGAAAGACAUUACUCGAUGGAAGAACAGUCUGUUAGACUCCCCCUGGGCAUGAUGGAAGCGAUCCCGGUGAGGAAAGAAAAUAUUUCCAGGAACUGAAGGAAUGGUUAUAGCAUCUCUAAAGAGGACAUUUGCCCGUGACUGAUAAAUAGAAAGGAAGCUUUCUGCCACUGUAGGCUGUGCUGAAGACUGCACCUUUUCCUGCCAGGUAUGGAAUUUGCUACAGUAAUUCAAAACUUGUUGAUCACUUGUGCUGGAUUACUUCUGGCUCUUCUACUUGGAGUUGUCAGCUGAAAAGUGUAGAAACAUCAGGUGUUAAAGCCUGAUGAAAUUUCUAAGUAGCAUAAAGAAGAGCGCAGCCUGUUAUUUAGAUGUGUCAGCAGCAAAUUGCAUCGAAAUAUCUUCAAGGACGUGGUCAUUCUCUACAGACCUCCUGGUGGGUGAGAACCUUUGGGAUAGAGCCCCUGUGACCCCCCCAUGCAUAAUACUUUAAAGUAAGGAUUGAAUCCUUUUAGUGGAGGUUCUUUGGUCUGAAAAUAGGGGUGGGAUUUGCCAGCUAGUGCAGGUAAUGGGAAUGCCCCCUUUUGCAUACCACUUCCUCCAGUACAGUGACAUCUCUUCCAUCCAUUAUAUUCCUCUGCAAUCUUUUCAAAAAUAUAUUUUUUGAAAAUAUUUUUGAAAAUAUAUUUGAAACAUACUUUUCAAAAAUCAUUAUGUUUCUACCAGCACUUAUAAUUAGGUUUCAGUAUGGUAUUUGAUGCAUGUUGUAUUAUGAUAUUUUCCCUGUAAAUUCUUAUGUAUGCAUUUAUUUUCAUGAUACUUCAAUAAAAACAUCAAAAUUGAAAUUCA